GGGCGAUUAGCUCAGUUGGUAGAGCAACUGACUCUUAAUCAGUGGGUCCCGGGUUCGAGUCCCCGAUCGCCCACCA
rnacentral:tRNA from 1 species